GACGAACCGUGCAAACGUUGUUCGGAAUCACUGGGCUUAAAGGGCGCGUAGGCGGGUUGCCAAGUCCGGGGUGAAAGCCCCCAGCUCAACUGGGGAAGUGCCUUGGAUACUGGUAAUCUUGAGGGAGGUAGGGGCAUGCGGAACUUCCGGUGGAGCGGUGAAAUGCGUAGAUAUCGGAAGGAACGCCGGUGGCGAAAGCGGCGUGCUGGACCUCUUCUGACGCUGAGGCGCGAAAGCUAGGGGAGCAAACGGG
rnacentral:rRNA from 1 species